AUUGAACGCUGGCGGCAGGCCUAACACAUGCAAGUCGAACGAGCGGCGGACGGGUGCGUAAUGUAUGGGGAUCUGCCUGAUGGCGGGGGAUAACUACUGGAAACGGUAGCUAAUACCGCAUACCAUCAGAUGAACCCAUAUGGGCUUAUCUAGUAGGUACGGUAACGGAUAACCUAGGCGACGAUCCCUAGCUGGGCUGAGAGGAUGCUCAGGCAAACGGGGACUGAGACACGGCCCAGACUUCUACGGGAGGUAGCAGUGGGGAAUAUUGCACAAGGGGCGCAAGCCUGAUGCAGCCAUGCCGCGUGUAUGAAGAAGGCCUUCGGGUUGUAAAGUACUUUCAGUCGGGAGGCGUUACCGACAGAAGAAGCACCGGCUAACUCCGUGCCAGCAGACGCGGUAAUUC
rnacentral:rRNA from 1 species